rnacentral:rRNA from 1 species
AUUGAACGCUGGCGGCAUGCCUUACACAUGCAAGUCGAACGGUAACAGGUUAAGCUGACGAGUGGCGAACGGGUGAGUGAUAUAUCGGAACGUGCCCAGUCGUGGGGGAUAACGUAGCGAAAGCUACGCUAAUACCGCAUACGAUCUACGGAUGAAAGCGGGGGAUCGCAAGACCUCGCGCGAUUGGAGCGGCCGAUAUCAGAUUAGGUUGUUGGUGAGGUAAAAGCUCACCAAGCCUGCGAUCUGUAGCUGGUCUGAGAGGACGACCAGCCACACUGGAAAUGAGACACGGUCCAGACUCCUGCGGGAGGCAGCAGUGGGGAAUUUUGGACAAUGGACGCAAGUCUGAUCCAGCAAUGCCGCGUGCAGGACGAAGGCCUUCGGGUUGUAAACUGCUUUUGUACGGAACGAAACGGUGAGCUCUAAUACAGUUUGCUAAUGACGGUACCGUAAGAAUAAGCACCGGCUAACUACGUGCCAGCCGCCGCAGUAA